UAUAUGUGUAUAUAUAUAUAUAUAUCCUAUUACUUUAAUCUGUUCUAAAUAAUUCGUCUAACAUUUUGUUUAAGUAAUAAACCAGUCAAAUGGCAAUAAAUGAUACAAAUUUAAGAUUUUUAAAACUGAAAUAUUUUUAUUAAUAUACUUUCUAUAUUAAACAUAUUAUACUGAUGGAAUUACAUCGGAAGCAAUUGUGGCCAUUGAGGAGAAGGGGAAGAUUAAAAAAUCUCUUACUCGUAAAGGCAAAACAAAAUUAGAUUGAAGAAGCUGUCUCAGCAUAUACAUCGCUUCAUCUCUUCUAAAACAUGAUCUGGAACGAUAUGUGUUCAACACUGAUAUUGCCUCUCAAGAACAAUCUGAUAUGUGAUGAAAUUAAUUGUGGUGAAUUUAAAGAUGAUAAAAUUAUAAAACUUAGGAUAGUUUGACGUUAUCAAUGAAUCUUUUUUUUGAUCAGCCGUGAGUCAACUUACGUUUGUAUAAUAAACUGCGAUAUGCAAUCUUUUUAAAUAAACUGAAUUCAACUAUUCACUUAUUAUUUUUUCCACUGGAGAGGAAAAGGUGUAUGAAACAUCUGCGGUUAUUGAUUCUGGAUGAUAACGAAAGAAAUCAUUAGGACUUCAUGUGGCUCAACAAAGCGUGGUGAUUUUGCAAAAGUCAACUAAAUUAUUUAUUAAAUAUAUACAUAAAAUCACUCAAGCAAUAGUCAAAAACCUGAAAUCUACUGAAAUAUCUGAGAUGCAUGAAACUUGUUUGAAUGUUAGACUUGAUACAAUCAGGUAAGGUCAGACUUGGCAGAUAUAUAAGUAUAGGCAGUAUAUUAAUUUGGUCAACUGGAUAAGAAUUGAUUUUGCAGGCCAGCACAACCAUUGAAAUGAUGUAAUUGAGUAUAGAUGUUG